rnacentral:rRNA from 1 species
GUCCACGCCGUAAACGAUGGAUACUAGCUGUUCGGAGCAAUCUGAGUGGCUAAGCGAAAGUGAUAAGUAUCCCACCUGGGGAGUACGCACGCAAGUGUGAAACUCAAAGGAAUUGACGGGGGCCCGCACAAGCGGUGGAGCAUGUGGUUUAAUUCGAUGAUACGCGAGGAACCUUACCAGGGCUUAAAUGUAGAUUGACAGGACUGGAAACAGUUUUUUCUUCGGACAAUUUACAAGGUGCUGCAUGGUUGUCGU